rnacentral:rRNA from 1 species
GGACUACAGGGGUUUCUAAUCCUGUUUGCUCCCCACGCUUUCGCAUCUCAGCGUCAGUAAUGGACCAGUUGGCCGCCUUCGCCACUGGUGUUCUUGCGAAUAUCUACGAAUUUCACCUCUACACUCGCAGUUCCACCAACCUCUUCCACACUCGAGCUAGACAGUAUCGAAGGCAGUUCUGAGGUUGAGCCUCAGGAUUUCACCCCCGACUUGAAUAGCCGCCUACAUGCGCUUUACGCCCAGUGAUUCCGAACAACGCUAGCCCCCUUCGUAUUACCGCGGCUGCUGGCAC